GGCUUGUUGAUAAUAAUUUUAAGUUAGACCUGCCCAAUGACUUGUUUAAUGGCCGCAGUAUUUUUGACUGUGCAAAGGUAGCAUAAUCACUAGUUUUUUAAUUGGAAGCUUGAAUGAAAGGUUUAAUGAAAAGAUAGCUGUCUCUGAAAAAAUUUAUUAAAAUUUUAUUUUUAAGUGAAAAAGCUUAAAUAUUUAUAGAAGACGAGAAGACCCUAUAGAGUUUUAUAUUUAGAUUACUGAUUUAACUUUAGGAUUAUUAAGGUAUCUAUAGUUUAAGUAUUUGGUUGGGGUGAUCACAAAAUUUAACUAACUUUUAUUAAAUUUUAACAUUAAUUUAUGAGUUUUUGAUCCUAAGUUUUAGAUUAUAAGAAAAAAUUACCUUAGGGAUAACAGCGUAAUUUUUUCUAGAGUUCUUAUCGAAAAAAAAGGUUGCGACCUCGAUGUUGGAUUAAAAUUUGUGGCUGGUGAAGAAGCUGGCAUUCUAGGUCUGUUCGACCUUUAAAAUUUUACAUGAUCUGAGUUUAAACCGGUGUAAA
rnacentral:rRNA from 1 species